rnacentral:rRNA from 1 species
AUGGAGAGCGGCCAAAGGAGCAACGACGGCCAGCCCCUGCCUCCUCUCCAGCACGUCCAGGGAUCCAUAGUGUUCUUACAUCUAGAUCUAUGGACAGGGUCAGUUGCUCCUAUCUGGACGAGCUUUGUCAGGGUCAUGUGGUUGCUGCUGCUACCGCUUUGUCGGGGUCAAGGGUCAAUAAAACUCAGCUUCCAGUGUUCCUUCUGCGGUGUGGAGGAGAUUCCCAAACCGAAACCCUGGCUCCUCUCUCUGCUCGGCACCGCCUACACCAGCGGCUUCGACAGUCAAUCCUCAGCGCCUGUAGCGACAAAGCUCUGGAAGGAGUGUGAUUGUGCUAGCAGAGUAAAAUACUAG